ACGAACGCUGGCGGCGCGCCUAACACAUGCAAGUCGAACGAGAGAGAAGGAGCUUGCUUCUUCGAUCGAGUGGCGAACGGGUGAGUAACGCGUGAGGAACCUGCCUCAAAGAGGGGGACAACAGUUGGAAACGACUGCUAAUACCGCAUAAGCCCACGGGUCGGCAUCGACCAGAGGGAAAAGGAGCAAUCCGCUUUGAGAUGGCCUCGCGUCCGAUUAGCUAGUUGGUGAGGUAAUGGCCCACCAAGGCGACGAUCGGUAGCCGGACUGAGAGGUUGAACGGCCACAUUGGGACUGAGACACGGCCCAGACUCCUACGGGAGGCAGCAGUGGGGAAUAUUGCACAAUGGGGGAAACCCUGAUGCAGCGACGCCGCGUGGAGGAAGAAGGUCUUCGGAUUGUAAACUCCUGUUGUUGAGGAAGAUAAUGACGGUACUCAACAAGGAAGUGACGGCUAACUACGUGCCAGCAGCCGCGGUAAAACGUAGGUCACAAGCGUUGUCCGGAAUUACUGGGUGUAAAGGGAGCGCAGGCGGGAAGACAAGUUGGAAGUGAAAUCCAUGGGCUCAACCCAUGAACUGCUUUCAAAACUGUUUUUCUUGAGUAGUGCAGAGGUAGGCGGAAUUCCCGGUGUAGCGGUGGAAUGCGUAGAUAUCGGGAGGAACACCAGUGGCGAAGGCGGCCUACUGGGCACCAACUGACGCUGAGGCUCGAAAGUGUGGGUAGCAAACAGGAUUAGAUACCCUGGUAGUCCACACCGUAAACGAUGAUUACUAGGUGUUGGAGGAUUGACCCCUUCAGUGCCGCAGUUAACACAAUAAGUAAUCCACCUGGGGAGUACGACCGCAAGGUUGAAACUCAAAGGAAUUGACG
rnacentral:rRNA from 1 species